UACGGGGGGGGCAAGCGUUGUUCGGAAUUACUGGGCGUAAAGGGCUCGUAGGCGGCCAACUAAGUCAUACGUGAAAUCCCUCGGCUUAACCGGGGAACUGCGUCUGAUACUGGAUGGCUUGAAUUCGGGAGAGGGAUGCAGAAUUCCAGGUGUAGCGGUGAAAUGCGUAGAUAUCUGGAGGAAUACCGGUGGCGAAGGCGGCAUCCUGGACCGACAUUGACGCUGAUGAGCGAAAGCUAGGGGAGCAAACGGG
rnacentral:rRNA from 1 species